AUCCUUGCCAAUCUUUUCUGAUCUUAAGCUAAGCAGGUCAGACCUAGUUGGUACUUGAAUGGGAGACCAUGUGGGAAUACCAGGUGCUGAGGAUA
rnacentral:rRNA from 1 species